UUUUUCUUCACUCCUCUGGGGCAGCCGCAAACGCCAGUGCAGCGUUGAGGGGGAGGCGGGGUGGGCGUGAUGGAAAGGACGUCUUCACUCUAUUCCUCACCUUAAAUGUUGCCGUGCUUCUCCAUAAAGCAUCCAAGGCAUCUUCGUUGGGAAAAUUAUCAAUCACACAGGUGAUGGUGUGACAGACGUUUCUCCAGCUGGACGGUGAACCCAGGAUGCGGAUCACCACAGUCUGUGCCAUGAAGUCCUCAGCGCCGCACACAGAGCCUGUGGGACCAGCCGCUCUAGAGAGUGUGCGGGGUGGAGCCUGACGUCGCCCGGAAAGAAACAGAAAUUUGAGGAUGCCAUCACCUAUUGGCUAAACAGAGGUCGGAAUGGGCACGACUGCUACGAUUACCACCAGCGCCACCACGAUGAGGAUGCUGCGAUCGGUCCCUGGAGCCCCUAGGGCUUCAGGCACGGAGCCAGCAUCAACUAUGACGACUACUGACCGUCGCUCAGGCGGGCUCGGGGCCGCAGGCUCCGCACGAUGCCCGGGCUGUGUCUGCUGCGCCUGUUCUCGGUUCAUCCUUCCUACCCGCUUUCUGUGGCCACAAAGGAAGAGUUAAAGCAAAGAACGUAAAUGCCUUCCGAGGUUUCAUGCAAGUACCUAACAGUGCAUUUCAUUUAAAAAUAGAAAUAAAAACAUUUUGUUAACACAUCUCAGAGUUCACUUGGAUGAAACUUGAGCUGGCGAGAGUUUUCCUUCCCUGCAUGUUUCUGAGGUUGAAGCAACUUCUCAGAGGCACCUCCCCUCUGCUAUCUGAAGUGUUACCUCUCCAAGAGUUCCCACCACCCCAGACCAUGGGACCGAGCAGGGGUCUUCAAUGUAUUCGAAUUCAGUCCACACUAAAUGCCAAAUUAAGAAUAAAAAAGCAAGAAAAUUUAGCUGGAAAUUAAUUUAAGGUCACAGAACACGGUUUGGGGGAUGAAGCAUCCACAUGGGUUUGCAAAUUUGCUGUUCCACAUCCCGAGCCAGAGGUGGACCUGUUUAAUAUUGUCAGGCAGGAAAAAAAGGGUAAUAGAAAAAACACGGAAGUUUGGUUGAUUCCACAGCCUCACUUGUCUUAAAAAAAUUAAACCUUGUCUAAUGAGUUCAAGAAAGAUUUACGAGUAUACAUUGCAUCAUGUUUAAACAAUCUGAGUGAAUGAAAGAGAAAAGUGUCCUGGGGGUGGGUAGAGGGAGGGGAGGAAAGUGGGGAGGUGACACCUGCAGAGGGGAGGGGCCCUCAGAAUGGCUCUUGAACUCGUGUGGGUCACAGACCCUCUGACAGCCUGAUGGAAGCUUUCUCAGAAAAAUGAUAGGUGAUUUUGCAUAUAGUCUCUGAAACACAUCCUCAUUCACAAGCUGCAGAUGAUAAACCCCUGGGUUUGGUGGGAAGUUCCUACCAGCAUCAGGAGACCAGUGUUUGUGGACAAUCCUUUGGAAUCCUUACAACUUUUAAAACUUUGUGGUAAAAUGUACACAACAUAAAAUCCAUCAUUUUAAGCAGUUUUAGAUGUAUAGUUCAGUGGCAUUAAGUACAUUCACCUUGUUGUACAACCGUCCCACCGUCUACGUCCAGAAUCAUUUCAUCUUCCCCAAACUGAAACUCUGUCUCCAUUAAACACUCACUCCCCAUCCCCUCCCCCAGCCCCUGGUACGCACCAUCCACUUCCUGUCUCGGUGAAUUUGACUCCUCUGGGGAUCUCAUAUGAGUGGAAUCAGACACACAGUAUUUGUCCUUUGGUGACUGGCUUAUGUCACUGAGCAUAAUGUCCUCAAGGUUCAUCCAUGUUAUAGCAGGUGUCAGAAGUUCCUCCCUUUUUAAGGCUGAAUAAUAUUCUAUUUUGUGUGUAGCCCACGUUUUGUUUAUCCAUCAUCCAUCAGCGGACACUGGGUUGCCUCCACCUCCUGGCUGUUGUGAGUAAUGCUGUGGACACGGGUCUGUAAACAUCUCUUCAUGUCCCCACGUUCAGUUCUUUGGGGGAUAUACCCAGAAGUGGAAUUAUUAGAUCAUAUGGUAACUCUGUUUAAUUUUUCGGGGAAUCACCACACAUGUUUUCCACAUCAGUUGUACUACUCUACAUUUUGAUAUAACGUAGAGUUGUAAUAGGGAAGAACAUUUUGUAUUCUCUUACAAGUUAAUUUAAGCCGAUAAGCUUAAAUUCCACACAAUGGCCCAUCUCGGACCCUUGCCUCCGAGAGAUGAAGGUAAAUGAGCAUUCAGCUCAAACACCUGUGUGUUUAGCUCCCAAGAAACCUCCUGAGCAGGCCCACCUGUGAAUGACUGCAGGAGGGAGAAAUGAACACCUCCCCUCCGGAGGCUGACGGGAACCAGGAAGUGCUUGGCUUUAGUCCCGCCCCUUGUAGUAUAAAAGGAGCCCGACUGCUGCCGCAGGCAAGACGGCUCCUGGGGGCACGAGCCCACCGUCUUCUGGGUUUGGGGGCUCUCCGAAGGAAGUCGUUAUUCUUUGCCCAGCAACUCGUCUCCUGAUUAUUGGCCUGUCCUGUGGCGAGCAGUGAGAGCUUGGGCAUCCAAGGCAUCUUCGUUGGGAAAAUUAUCAAUCACACAGGUGAUGGUGUGACAGACGUUUCUCCAGCUGGACGGUGAACCCAGGAUGCGGAUCACCACAGUCUGUGCCAUGAAGUCCUCAGCGCCGCACACAGAGCCUGUGGGACCAGCCGCUCUAGAGAGUGUGCGGGGUGGAGCCUGACGUCGCCCGGAAAGAAACAGAAAUUUGAGGAUGCCAUCACCUAUUGGCUAAACAGAGGUCGGAAUGGGCACGACUGCUACGAUUACCACCAGCGCCACCACGAUGAGGAUGCUGCGAUCGGUCCCUGGAGCCCCUAGGGCUUCAGGCACGGAGCCAGCAUCAACUAUGACGACUACUGACCGUCGCUCAGGCGGGCUCGGGGCCGCAGGCUCCGCACGAUGCCCGGGCUGUGUCUGCUGCGCCUGUUCUCGGUUCAUCCUUCCUACCCGCUUUCUGUGGCCACAAAGGAAGAGUUAAAGCAAAGAACGUAAAUGCCUUCCGAGGUUUCAUGCAAGUACCUAACAGUGCAUUUCAUUUAAAAAUAGAAAUAAAAACAUUUUGUUAACACAUCUCAGAGUUCACUUGGAUGAAACUUGAGCUGGCGAGAGUUUUCCUUCCCUGCAUGUUUCUGAGGUUGAAGCAACUUCUCAGAGGCACCUCCCCUCUGCUAUCUGAAGUGUUACCUCUCCAAGAGUUCCCACCACCCCAGACCAUGGGACCGAGCAGGGGUCUUCAAUGUAUUCGAAUUCAGUCCACACUAAAUGCCAAAUUAAGAAUAAAAAAGCAAGAAAAUUUAGCUGGAAAUUAAUUUAAGGUCACAGAACACGGUUUGGGGGAUGAAGCAUCCACAUGGGUUUGCAAAUUUGCUGUUCCACAUCCCGAGCCAGAGGUGGACCUGUUUAAUAUUGUCAGGCAGGAAAAAAAGGGUAAUAGAAAAAACACGGAAGUUUGGUUGAUUCCACAGCCUCACUUGUCUUAAAAAAAUUAAACCUUGUCUAAUGAGUUCAAGAAAGAUUUACGAGUAUACAUUGCAUCAUGUUUAAACAAUCUGAGUGAAUGAAAGAGAAAAGUGUCCUGGGGGUGGGUAGAGGGAGGGGAGGAAAGUGGGGAGGUGACACCUGCAGAGGGGAGGGGCCCUCAGAAUGGCUCUUGAACUCGUGUGGGUCACAGACCCUCUGACAGCCUGAUGGAAGCUUUCUCAGAAAAAUGAUAGGUGAUUUUGCAUAUAGUCUCUGAAACACAUCCUCAUUCACAAGCUGCAGAUGAUAAACCCCUGGGUUUGGUGGGAAGUUCCUACCAGCAUCAGGAGACCAGUGUUUGUGGACAAUCCUUUGGAAUCCUUACAACUUUUAAAACUUUGUGGUAAAAUGUACACAACAUAAAAUCCAUCAUUUUAAGCAGUUUUAGAUGUAUAGUUCAGUGGCAUUAAGUACAUUCACCUUGUUGUACAACCGUCCCACCGUCUACGUCCAGAAUCAUUUCAUCUUCCCCAAACUGAAACUCUGUCUCCAUUAAACACUCACUCCCCAUCCCCUCCCCCAGCCCCUGGUACGCACCAUCCACUUCCUGUCUCGGUGAAUUUGACUCCUCUGGGGAUCUCAUAUGAGUGGAAUCAGACACACAGUAUUUGUCCUUUGGUGACUGGCUUAUGUCACUGAGCAUAAUGUCCUCAAGGUUCAUCCAUGUUAUAGCAGGUGUCAGAAGUUCCUCCCUUUUUAAGGCUGAAUAAUAUUCUAUUUUGUGUGUAGCCCACGUUUUGUUUAUCCAUCAUCCAUCAGCGGACACUGGGUUGCCUCCACCUCCUGGCUGUUGUGAGUAAUGCUGUGGACACGGGUCUGUAAACAUCUCUUCAUGUCCCCACGUUCAGUUCUUUGGGGGAUAUACCCAGAAGUGGAAUUAUUAGAUCAUAUGGUAACUCUGUUUAAUUUUUCGGGGAAUCACCACACAUGUUUUCCACAUCAGUUGUACUACUCUACAUUUUGAUAUAACGUAGAGUUGUAAUAGGGAAGAACAUUUUGUAUUCUCUUACAAGUUAAUUUAAGCCGAUAAGCUUAAAUUCCACACAAUGGCCCAUCUCGGACCCUUGCCUCCGAGAGAUGAAGGUAAAUGAGCAUUCAGCUCAAACACCUGUGUGUUUAGCUCCCAAGAAACCUCCUGAGCAGGCCCACCUGUGAAUGACUGCAGGAGGGAGAAAUGAACACCUCCCCUCCGGAGGCUGACGGGAACCAGGAAGUGCUUGGCUUUAGUCCCGCCCCUUGUAGUAUAAAAGGAGCCCGACUGCUGCCGCAGGCAAGACGGCUCCUGGGGGCACGAGCCCACCGUCUUCUGGGUUUGGGGGCUCUCCGAAGGAAGUCGUUAUUCUUUGCCCAGCAACUCGUCUCCUGAUUAUUGGCCUGUCCUGUGGCGAGCAGUGAGAGCUUGGGUAACAGGGUUCCAUGAAAACUUUCGUUUCUUUUUCUUCACUCCUCUGGGGCAGCCGCAAACCCCAGUGCAGCGUUGAGGGGGAGGCGGGGUGGGCGUGAUGGAAAGGACGUCUUCACUCUAUUCCUCACCUUAAAUGUUGCCGUGCUUCUCCAUAAAGCAUCCAAGGCAUCUUCUUUGGGAAAAUUAUCAAUCACACAGGUGAUGGUGUGACAGACGUUUCUCCAGCUGGACGGUGAACCCAGGAUGCGGAUCACCACAGUCUGUGCCAUGAAGUCCUCAGCGCCGCACACAGAGCCUGUGGGACCAGCCGCUCUAGAGAGUGUGCGGGGUGGAGCCUGACGUCGCCCGGAAAGAAACAGAAAUUUGAGGAUGCCAUCACCCAUUGGCUAAACAGAGGUCGGAAUGGGCACGACUGCUACGAUUACCACCAGCGCCACCACGAUGAGGAUGCUGCGAUCGGUCCCUGGAGCCCCUAGGGCUUCAGGCACGGAGCCAGCAUCAACUACGACGACUACUGACCGUCGCUCAGGCGGGCUCGGGGCCGCAGGCUCCGCACGAUGCCCGGGCUGUGUCUGCUGCGCCCGUUCUCGGUUCAUCCUUCCUACCCGCUUUCUGUGGCCACAAAGGAAGAGUUAAAGCAAAGAACGUAAAUGCCUUUCGAGGUUUCAUGCAAGUACCUAACAAUGCAUUUCAUUUAAAAAUAGAAAUAAAAACAUUUUGUUAACACAUCUCAGAGUUCACUUGGAUGAAACUUGAGCUGGCGAGAGUUUUCCUUCCCUGCAUGUUUCUGAGGUUGAAGCAACCUCUCAGAGGCACCUCCCCUCUGCUAUCUGAAGUGUUACCUCUCCAAGAAUUCCCACCACCCCAGACCAUGGGACCGAGCAGGGGUCUUCAAUGUAUUCGAAUUCAGUCCACACUAAAUGCCAAAUUAAGAAUGAAAAAGCAAGAAAAUUUAGCUGGAAAUUAAUUUAAGGUCACAGAACACGGUUUGGGGGAUGAAGCAUCCACAUGGGUUUGUAAAUUUGCUGUUCCACAUCCCGAGCCAGAGGUGGACCUGUUUAAUAUUGUCAGGCAGGAAAAAAAGGGUAAUAGAAAAAACACGGAAGUUUGGUUGAUUUCACAGCCUCACUUGUCUUAAAAAAUUAAACCUUGUCUAAUGAGUUCAAGAAAGAUGUACGAAUAUACAUUGCAUCAUGUUUAAACAAUCUGAGUGAAUGAAAGAGAAAAGUGUCCUGGGGGUGGGUAGAGGGAGGGGAGGAAAGUGGGGAGGUGACACCUGCAGAGGGGAGGGGCCCUCAGAAUGGCUCUUGAACUCGUGUGGGUCACAGACCCUCUGACAGCCUGAUGGAAGCUUUCUCAGAAAAAUGAUAGGUGAUUUUGCAUAUAGUCUCUGAAACACAUCCUCAUUCACAAGCUGCAGAUGAUAAACCCCUGGGUUUGGUGGGAAGUUCCUACCAGCAUCAGGAGACCAGUGUUUGUGGACAAUCCUUUGGAAUCCUUACAACUUUUAAAACUUUGUGGUAAAAUGUACACAACAUAAAAUCCAUCAUUUUAAGCAGUUUUAGAUGUAUAGUUCAGUGGCAUUAAGUACAUUCACCUUGUUGUACAACCGUCCCACCGUCUACGUCCAGAAUCAUUUCAUCUUCCCCAAACUGAAACUCUGUCUCCAUUAAACACUCACUCCCCAUCCCCUCCCCCAGCCCCUGGUACGCACCAUCCACUUCCUGUCUCGGUGAAUUUGACUCCUCUGGGGAUCUCAUAUGAGUGGAAUCAGACACACAGUAUUUGUCCUUUGGUGACUGGCUUAUGUCACUGAGCAUAAUGUCCUCAAGGUUCAUCCAUGUUAUAGCAGGUGUCAGAAGUUCCUCCCUUUUUAAGGCUGAAUAAUAUUCUAUUUUGUGUGUAGCCCACGUUUUGUUUAUCCAUCAUCCAUCAGCGGACACUGGGUUGCCUCCACCUCCUGGCUGUUGUGAGUAAUGCUGUGGACACGGGUCUGUAAACAUCUCUUCAUGUCCCCACGUUCAGUUCUUUGGGGGAUAUACCCAGAAGUGGAAUUAUUAGAUCAUAUGGUAACUCUGUUUAAUUUUUCGGGGAAUCACCACACAUGUUUUCCACAUCAGUUGUACUACUCUACAUUUUGAUAUAACGUAGAGUUGUAAUAGGGAAGAACAUUUUGUAUUCUCUUACAAGUUAAUUUAAGCCGAUAAGCUUAAAUUCCACACAAUGGCCCAUCUCGGACCCUUGCCUCCGAGAGAUGAAGGUAAAUGAGCAUUCAGCUCAAACACCUGUGUGUUUAGCUCCCAAGAAACCUCCUGAGCAGGCCCACCUGUGAAUGACUGCAGGAGGGAGAAAUGAACACCUCCCCUCCGGAGGCUGACGGGAACCAGGAAGUGCUUGGCUUUAGUCCCGCCCCUUGUAGUAUAAAAGGAGCCCGACUGCUGCCGCAGGCAAGACGGCUCCUGGGGGCACGAGCCCACCGUCUUCUGGGUUUGGGGGCUCUCCGAAGGAAGUCGUUAUUCUUUGCCCAGCAACUCGUCUCCUGAUUAUUGGCCUGUCCUGUGGCGAGCAGUGAGAGCUUGGGCAUCCAAGGCAUCUUCUUUGGGAAAAUUAUCAAUCACACAGGUGAUGGUGUGACAGACGUUUCUCCAGCUGGACGGUGAACCCAGGAUGCGGAUCACCACAGUCUGUGCCAUGAAGUCCUCAGCGCCGCACACAGAGCCUGUGGGACCAGCCGCUCUAGAGAGUGUGCGGGGUGGAGCCUGACGUCGCCCGGAAAGAAACAGAAAUUUGAGGAUGCCAUCACCCAUUGGCUAAACAGAGGUCGGAAUGGGCACGACUGCUACGAUUACCACCAGCGCCACCACGAUGAGGAUGCUGCGAUCGGUCCCUGGAGCCCCUAGGGCUUCAGGCACGGAGCCAGCAUCAACUACGACGACUACUGACCGUCGCUCAGGCGGGCUCGGGGCCGCAGGCUCCGCACGAUGCCCGGGCUGUGUCUGCUGCGCCCGUUCUCGGUUCAUCCUUCCUACCCGUUUUCUGUGGCCACAAAGGAAGAGUUAAAGCAAAGAACGUAAAUGCCUUUCGAGGUUUCAUGCAAGUACCUAACAAUGCAUUUCAUUUAAAAAUAGAAAUAAAAACAUUUUGUUAACACAUCUCAGAGUUCACUUGGAUGAAACUUGAGCUGGCGAGAGUUUUCCUUCCCUGCAUGUUUCUGAGGUUGAAGCAACCUCUCAGAGGCACCUCCCCUCUGCUAUCUGAAGUGUUACCUCUCCAAGAAUUCCCACCACCCCAGACCAUGGGACCGAGCAGGGGUCUUCAAUGUAUUCGAAUUCAGUCCACACUAAAUGCCAAAUUAAGAAUGAAAAAGCAAGAAAAUUUAGCUGGAAAUUAAUUUAAGGUCACAGAACACGGUUUGGGGGAUGAAGCAUCCACAUGGGUUUGUAAAUUUGCUGUUCCACAUCCCGAGCCAGAGGUGGACCUGUUUAAUAUUGUCAGGCAGGAAAAAAAGGGUAAUAGAAAAAACACGGAAGUUUGGUUGAUUUCACAGCCUCACUUGUCUUAAAAAAUUAAACCUUGUCUAAUGAGUUCAAGAAAGAUGUACGAAUAUACAUUGCAUCAUGUUUAAACAAUCUGAGUGAAUGAAAGAGAAAAGUGUCCUGGGGGUGGGUAGAGGGAGGGGAGGAAAGUGGGGAGGUGACACCUGCAGAGGGGAGGGGCCCUCAGAAUGGCUCUUGAACUCGUGUGGGUCACAGACCCUCUGACAGCCUGAUGGAAGCUUUCUCAGAAAAAUGAUAGGUGAUUUUGCAUAUAGUCUCUGAAACACAUCCUCAUUCACAAGCUGCAGAUGAUAAACCCCUGGGUUUGGUGGGAAGUUCCUACCAGCAUCAGGAGACCAGUGUUUGUGGACAAUCCUUUGGAAUCCUUACAACUUUUAAAACUUUGUGGUAAAAUGUACACAACAUAAAAUCCAUCAUUUUAAGCAGUUUUAGAUGUAUAGUUCAGUGGCAUUAAGUACAUUCACCUUGUUGUACAACCGUCCCACCGUCUACGUCCAGAAUCAUUUCAUCUUCCCCAAACUGAAACUCUGUCUCCAUUAAACACUCACUCCCCAUCCCCUCCCCCAGCCCCUGGUACGCACCAUCCACUUCCUGUCUCGGUGAAUUUGACUCCUCUGGGGAUCUCAUAUGAGUGGAAUCAGACACACAGUAUUUGUCCUUUGGUGACUGGCUUAUGUCACUGAGCAUAAUGUCCUCAAGGUUCAUCCAUGUUAUAGCAGGUGUCAGAAGUUCCUCCCUUUUUAAGGCUGAAUAAUAUUCUAUUUUGUGUGUAGCCCACGUUUUGUUUAUCCAUCAUCCAUCAGCGGACACUGGGUUGCCUCCACCUCCUGGCUGUUGUGAGUAAUGCUGUGGACACGGGUCUGUAAACAUCUCUUCAUGUCCCCACGUUCAGUUCUUUGGGGGAUAUACCCAGAAGUGGAAUUAUUAGAUCAUAUGGUAACUCUGUUUAAUUUUUCGGGGAAUCACCACACAUGUUUUCCACAUCAGUUGUACUACUCUACAUUUUGAUAUAACGUAGAGUUGUAAUAGGGAAGAACAUUUUGUAUUCUCUUACAAGUUAAUUUAAGCCGAUAAGCUUAAAUUCCACACAAUGGCCCAUCUCGGACCCUUGCCUCCGAGAGAUGAAGGUAAAUGAGCAUUCAGCUCAAACACCUGUGUGUUUAGCUCCCAAGAAACCUCCUGAGCAGGCCCACCUGUGAAUGACUGCAGGAGGGAGAAAUGAACACCUCCCCUCCGGAGGCUGACGGGAACCAGGAAGUGCUUGGCUUUAGUCCCGCCCCUUGUAGUAUAAAAGGAGCCCGACUGCUGCCGCAGGCAAGACGGCUCCUGGGGGCACGAGCCCACCGUCUUCUGGGUUUGGGGGCUCUCCGAAGGAAGUCGUUAUUCUUUGCCCAGCAACUCGUCUCCUGAUUAUUGGCCUGUCCUGUGGCGAGCAGUGAGAGCUUGGGCAUCCAAGGCAUCUUCUUUGGGAAAAUUAUCAAUCACACAGGUGAUGGUGUGACAGACGUUUCUCCAGCUGGACGGUGAACCCAGGAUGCGGAUCACCACAGUCUGUGCCAUGAAGUCCUCAGCGCCGCACACAGAGCCUGUGGGACCAGCCGCUCUAGAGAGUGUGCGGGGUGGAGCCUGACGUCGCCCGGAAAGAAACAGAAAUUUGAGGAUGCCAUCACCCAUUGGCUAAACAGAGGUCGGAAUGGGCACGACUGCUACGAUUACCACCAGCGCCACCACGAUGAGGAUGCUGCGAUCGGUCCCUGGAGCCCCUAGGGCUUCAGGCACGGAGCCAGCAUCAACUACGACGACUACUGACCGUCGCUCAGGCGGGCUCGGGGCCGCAGGCUCCGCACGAUGCCCGGGCUGUGUCUGCUGCGCCCGUUCUCGGUUCAUCCUUCCUACCCGCUUUCUGUGGCCACAAAGGAAGAGUUAAAGCAAAGAACGUAAAUGCCUUUCGAGGUUUCAUGCAAGUACCUAACAAUGCAUUUCAUUUAAAAAUAGAAAUAAAAACAUUUUGUUAACACAUCUCAGAGUUCACUUGGAUGAAACUUGAGCUGGCGAGAGUUUUCCUUCCCUGCAUGUUUCUGAGGUUGAAGCAACUUCUCAGAGGCACCUCCCCUCUGCUAUCUGAAGUGUUACCUCUCCAAGAAUUCCCACCACCCCAGACCAUGGGACCGAGCAGGGGUCUUCAAUGUAUUCGAAUUCAGUCCACACUAAAUGCCAAAUUAAGAAUGAAAAAGCAAGAAAAUUUAGCUGGAAAUUAAUUUAAGGUCACAGAACACGGUUUGGGGGAUGAAGCAUCCACAUGGGUUUGUAAAUUUGCUGUUCCACAUCCCGAGCCAGAGGUGGACCUGUUUAAUAUUGUCAGGCAGGAAAAAAAGGGUAAUAGAAAAAACACGGAAGUUUGGUUGAUUUCACAGCCUCACUUGUCUUAAAAAAUUAAACCUUGUCUAAUGAGUUCAAGAAAGAUGUACGAAUAUACAUUGCAUCAUGUUUAAACAAUCUGAGUGAAUGAAAGAGAAAAGUGUCCUGGGGGUGGGUAGAGGGAGGGGAGGAAAGUGGGGAGGUGACACCUGCAGAGGGGAGGGGCCCUCAGAAUGGCUCUUGAACUCGUGUGGGUCACAGACCCUCUGACAGCCUGAUGGAAGCUUUCUCAGAAAAAUGAUAGGUGAUUUUGCAUAUAGUCUCUGAAACACAUCCUCAUUCACAAGCUGCAGAUGAUAAACCCCUGGGUUUGGUGGGAAGUUCCUACCAGCAUCAGGAGACCAGUGUUUGUGGACAAUCCUUUGGAAUCCUUACAACUUUUAAAACUUUGUGGUAAAAUGUACACAACAUAAAAUCCAUCAUUUUAAGCAGUUUUAGAUGUAUAGUUCAGUGGCAUUAAGUACAUUCACCUUGUUGUACAACCGUCCCACCGUCUACGUCCAGAAUCAUUUCAUCUUCCCCAAACUGAAACUCUGUCUCCAUUAAACACUCACUCCCCAUCCCCUCCCCCAGCCCCUGGUACGCACCAUCCACUUCCUGUCUCGGUGAAUUUGACUCCUCUGGGGAUCUCAUAUGAGUGGAAUCAGACACACAGUAUUUGUCCUUUGGUGACUGGCUUAUGUCACUGAGCAUAAUGUCCUCAAGGUUCAUCCAUGUUAUAGCAGGUGUCAGAAGUUCCUCCCUUUUUAAGGCUGAAUAAUAUUCUAUUUUGUGUGUAGCCCACGUUUUGUUUAUCCAUCAUCCAUCAGCGGACACUGGGUUGCCUCCACCUCCUGGCUGUUGUGAGUAAUGCUGUGGACACGGGUCUGUAAACAUCUCUUCAUGUCCCCACGUUCAGUUCUUUGGGGGAUAUACCCAGAAGUGGAAUUAUUAGAUCAUAUGGUAACUCUGUUUAAUUUUUCGGGGAAUCACCACACAUGUUUUCCACAUCAGUUGUACUACUCUACAUUUUGAUAUAACGUAGAGUUGUAAUAGGGAAGAACAUUUUGUAUUCUCUUACAAGUUAAUUUAAGCCGAUAAGCUUAAAUUCCACACAAUGGCCCAUCUCGGACCCUUGCCUCCGAGAGAUGAAGGUAAAUGAGCAUUCAGCUCAAACACCUGUGUGUUUAGCUCCCAAGAAACCUCCUGAGCAGGCCCACCUGUGAAUGACUGCAGGAGGGAGAAAUGAACACCUCCCCUCCGGAGGCUGACGGGAACCAGGAAGUGCUUGGCUUUAGUCCCGCCCCUUGUAGUAUAAAAGGAGCCCGACUGCUGCCGCAGGCAAGACGGCUCCUGGGGGCACGAGCCCACCGUCUUCUGGGUUUGGGGGCUCUCCGAAGGAAGUCGUUAUUCUUUGCCCAGCAACUCGUCUCCUGAUUAUUGGCCUGUCCUGUGGCGAGCAGUGAGAGCUUGGGCAUCCAAGGCAUCUUCUUUGGGAAAAUUAUCAAUCACACAGGUGAUGGUGUGACAGACGUUUCUCCAGCUGGACGGUGAACCCAGGAUGCGGAUCACCACAGUCUGUGCCAUGAAGUCCUCAGCGCCGCACACAGAGCCUGUGGGACCAGCCGCUCUAGAGAGUGUGCGGGGUGGAGCCUGACGUCGCCCGGAAAGAAACAGAAAUUUGAGGAUGCCAUCACCCAUUGGCUAAACAGAGGUCGGAAUGGGCACGACUGCUACGAUUACCACCAGCGCCACCACGAUGAGGAUGCUGCGAUCGGUCCCUGGAGCCCCUAGGGCUUCAGGCACGGAGCCAGCAUCAACUACGACGACUACUGACCGUCGCUCAGGCGGGCUCGGGGCCGCAGGCUCCGCACGAUGCCCGGGCUGUGUCUGCUGCGCCCGUUCUCGGUUCAUCCUUCCUACCCGCUUUCUGUGGCCACAAAGGAAGAGUUAAAGCAAAGAACGUAAAUGCCUUUCGAGGUUUCAUGCAAGUACCUAACAAUGCAUUUCAUUUAAAAAUAGAAAUAAAAACAUUUUGUUAACACA